rnacentral:sRNA from 1 species
CGAGCUCAAGCCUAGCAUGUGAUGUGGUACCCUUUCUUCAAGAGAGACACGCCCUCCCUUGAAGCAGGAUGGCAGUGGAAUACUACCAGCCUGCACCCCCACACAUGUACCCUGGGCCUGCCUGGAGUCUCUUUGUUCCUUUUUCCCUCUUGGAGGGAAAACCACCCAGGACAGCAGCAGUGAUACCAUAUUCAUUCUCCUGUUAGGUGACACUGCUGAGUGUGGAGAUGACUGCCCUAAAAGAGGAGAGAGACCGACUCAGAGUCACAUCUGAGGACAAGGAGCCAAAGGAGCAGCUUCAGAAGGCCAUCAGGGACCGCGACGAGGCCAUUGCAAAGAAGAACGCUGUGGAGCUGGAACUUGCCAAGUGCAGGAUGGAUAUGAUGUCUCUGAACAGCCAGUUGCUGGACGCCA